UGGCGACCAUAGCAAGAGUGAACCACCUGAUCCCUUCCCGAACUCAGAAGUGAAACCUCUUAGCGCUGAU
rnacentral:rRNA from 2 species